AUGAGACUGCCUAACGACUGUAGAGUACGGCUCCAACUGGCUCACAAAUUAUUAUUUUUCUCUCAAGUUAUUGGAUAAGUUAUAGUGAAAUUGGUGAUAUUUGAUACAAAAAAUGUGGUUUUGUGUGUCGACAUACGCAUUACAGUUUUCUGAUCAAGUUUUAAAUGAAUGUUCAACGAAAUCAAAAGUGUGUUUAUGUUUCAAGUUUCGGCAGUAGCCCAAAGCAUUGAUCUGUGAAAAAUCAACAUUUACCGUGUACCAAUUUUCGGCAGCAUUUAAAGUGAAUAAUUAAUGGUUUUUAUUGAUUUUAAAAUUCCAAGCGGGCUAGUAUAAAAUCUGCAACCAUAAAAUCUUUCAUGAAAACCAUACUUUUAUUGUUUUAGUGAUCUGAUUCUGUUAAUAAUGAAACCUGCCGAACUAUUGGCUAACUGCAAAUCUACCGAAACUGUUGAACUCUGCACAUUUCGUUUGAUAUUUUGAAAAAUAUACAUGGAAAUGAUGUGAAACUUCGUAUAUGAAUAACAAAUGAGCAUAUCUCUAUGUAAAAAAUAUGUGUUGAUACAAUUUUCAACGCAUUUUUUUUCGUAGUUACACGUUUUUAGUUACCCUGCCGAAAACAGAAACGAAUGCUCCACAUCUUCCAAGGAAAGCAACAACAGCCACCAACGCCAGAGGGUGGAAAAAACCAUACUACACCCUGAUCUUAUAAUCAUACUGCAUGACCCAAGGGGUGUAACGGCAUUUCUGUCACCCCCACCACGUGUAAAUGGAAAGGAAAAGGGCAGCAGGCGAAGGCGAAGCGACCGGAUUGAAGAUUGACGCAGCGAGCGGGCUCGUGAAAAAGGUAAAUAUUUUCCCAGUCAGCUCGCUUCCUUAAGCCAACCGUCAUUCCGCUGUAACGUUUCGUUGGCACGCGAUCGUAAUGCGAAUGUAAUUUAGCGAAAAACCUUCUUCCAACCGUGAUGGGGAGGAAAAGAGAGUGCGAUUGCCCAGUAGCAUUAGUUUCGGGAAACGCAAGCGGUGAAGAUUGGCUUCGAAGCUAGGUCCCAUUUUUUGCUGUUCUUUCGUAUUUUUUCCCCCUUUUCCCCGAGCUGUACUCCACAGCUACUCGCACCUUGCAGACACCACGAUCACAAUCGACCCGGGGAAGCUAAGCGUGGUUCGCCUUUCCAAAGCCGAGGCUCGCGGUUGUUUGGCCAUCAAUAGCACACUAACCUAUCGACCCUGCCACGGUGCUGUGUAACGAACGGCUACUGAACCAUCUAUGUAUAUAGCUGGCUGCUACCGUUUUAGAAGGGAGUGCGGGCGAUCGCGACUAAACGUGGCACCACCGGUCGUGCACCACCGCGGGCCAUCGUAGUGUUCGCAAUGACAGUGUCCCUUUAUG